rnacentral:lncRNA from 1 species
AAUAAAAUGACAUUAUUAUUUCCUCUGUCCUAUCAUGUAGAAAAGCCAAUUAUGGUAAUGCUCUGCAUGUCAGUGAGAAUGCAGCAAUCCCUCUCUCUCCCUCUCCCCUUUUUCCAGGGCAGUUAAAACAAGGCUUCGGUAGCAUGAUGCUGUCUGCCCCAGUCCACUUAUGGCCUGCUGCAAUCUGGCAGGGCUGUCUGUGAAACUGGCGAAGGCAACUGCGCCGCUUCUAGAAAUGAAUGCAGAAUGUGUGUUACAACAUAUCAGAACUCCUGGGUGAAAAAAAAAAAAUCUAAAUUUACCACAGUAAACAGAGAUAGACAAUAUGUUGUGUAGGUGUAGUGAAUUGUGGCGGUUUCUCAAACAAGUUACUGUAAAGAAAGAGUCCAAAAUUAAUAUUUUGUUAAUGAUUUUGUUGGUAAAUAAAAAAAAAGCAUAUUCUUGCAUAUUAUGCACAUUAGUUACAAACUGUGCAGGUCAUUACAUAACUUGCAUCCUAGUAUAUUCCAUACGAUUUGCAACAUUCAAUAAAAAAAAAAAAAGGCAUUUUCUAAAAGUAAGUUAUUUACUGAGGUAAAGGUCACAACUGAUGUUUUUUUUUUUGGUUUGGUUGUGUUGAAUCACUUAUGUCACUUCAUCAGUGAGGGUCAGAUUAUCUAUUCUUACGAUUUGAUUCAAGCCAUGCAUUAUCUUGCAGUUCCAUGCAAGUAACUUUGUUCAAAUUAAUCUCCAAUGCCAAUUCUUACUCCCAUUCAUCGCUUGGCAAGUGUUCCCUUUGGACCCUUCCUGUAAACCUUUUUUGCACUUACUUCCUUUAUUCCAUCAGAGAUGGACAGAUUUCUUGAGGGGGGGUUUGGGGUCGUUGUAGAUCUGACCCCCACCCCUCCUCUCUCUCUCUCUCUAGCCCAAUGUGAACGUAUGAGAAGAGAAAAGCCUUCACAUUUUUCACCAUCUUCUACACAAUCGUCCUCUUUGAGGACUUCCUUUGUGCUCUGUCUCCAGGCUUUUUCAUCCCUUUUCUCUGCGAGACACAUCUAACUUUAUUACAGACUAAACAAAAGAAGGCUUUGAAGUGCAGACGGGCGUUUUACACGGACCCUGCCCACCUCUCCGUAUCCGCUGACAGUGAUUUGUGCUCCUGCGGACACUCUGGAGUAGGCUCUCUGAAUUAAUAUCUGCUUUGCCUCUUUAAGCAUCUCUUGUAAAAGGCUGGCCCAGCCCCCUCCCACCAUCCUCCGUGUGGAAUAGGCCACCAUAUGGCGGAAUAGCUUCAGGCCCCUGAAGAACUGGUGUGGCAUUCCAUUCUGCGCUCCAAAUUCAUCUUUUCGCUUUAGAUACUUGCGGACGAGUAUGGAUGGAGGUAUACUGUAUAACUAGGCCAACAGAAUGCUCUAUUAAAAAUAUGGGGAAUUACAUCAAACAGAAAGGAGAACACAAGAAAAAAUAGCCUGAUAAUUGUGGACUAAUGACUGAUAUGUAAUGACUUAAGUUAUUACUUUACAUUACAUUUGAUUCCCUGAUGAUUAAAUUUAAAAUGUCAGCAUUUUAGUAUAUUUGGGUGUGAAAUAUAAUACUAAACAAUAAUAAAUAAAUAAAUAUAUCUUUGUUAAUAUUUUUAUUUAUAUUUUUAUUAAUAUUUUUAAUAAAAUUGUAUUUCUAUAUUUUCUACAUUAAUUUUUUUUGCAGUUUUAUUGUGUGUUUUUGUCGCUUUUAUUAUAUUUAUUAUUAUUAUUAUUAUUUUUUAAAUGUCUAUAGUUACAUUUUUAUUUCAGGUUUUAGUUAUUUUAGUUCAGGUCUAACAAUUAAAAUGACAAAUUUUGCCUUGGCAACUAAAUAAAAAAUAAAACAGAUUUUAUAUUUAGUUUCAGUUUUAGUCUUAUUUAAAUAUAAUAACCCUGUCAAAAGUGUUCCUAAGUCCAUAAGCCAUUAAAAAUGCUAAAAUAUCAAAUUUGACUAAUGCUUUCCGUAUCUCUUCCAAUAAAAAAAAGAGGAAAAAUUCAGUUUUGAUAAGUAGAUGAACAAACUAAAAUACUACUGUGUAAAUGCUUUCACCUCACACUGACACAUUACAAAAUCACUCAUUCACUUGCUAACACACACAGACGCAUGCACACACACUCCAAUGUCAAGUCCAUACUUAUGCAAAGUGCGGCCUACUUUGUCAUUUAAUUUUUAAAAACCCUAAGGUCGUAUAACACACUUUCCCUGUCAUUUGCAAGUACAUUAACUCGGUGGCCAUGCGACAGCCAAAUUAUGCUAAUGGGCUGCUAAAAUGGGUCAUAUAGACAGUGCAUUUUACAUUAGCUUCAAACAAUAGGGAGGGAAGAGCAAAGCAAAGGUGACAGCAGCACCGGGGGAGUGAGACAGGGUCUGUCUCCUUUAGCCACAGUUACGUCCUCAUUCAGAGCAGCCUGUGAAUGGAGUUCUCAUAAGCCGCACAAACCACAACAAGGCGCUCACGUCCCAUCAUCCCCCAAGACUGCUGAACACCGAUAUCAAAAUGCUUGCUGAAUAAUGAAAGGGCUCAAUUAACGGAUUAUUAACAGCAAUUUACUCUACUUAGGUAAUCCAACCUGCAAAAGUACGGUGAGGUCAGACAUAUUUUAAAAAGAGGAAGAACGUGUGUGUAGCUAACGUUUGCUUGUCAACUUAAAUAUAGCAUGAAUAGCUGCGCUGCUUGUAUAAAAAAAGGAAGAUAAACCAAAAAUCUGCAGUUUACAUGUAUUAAUUUUAUUUAAUACUUGGCCCUAAGUCAAGAUAAAACAAAAUUACCUAGAAAAGUGGGUAGCAUAAAUUAGUAUGUGUUAUUGUAACACCCUCACUAGGCCAGAGAUAUAUGUAGCUCAACAAAAUAUCUCCUCAAUUUAAUGAAGUUAACUUCUUAUAUAUAAAAAUAACUUCAAAUUGUUGUUUCUUGUCUCUAUGUAUUUUUCCUCAAUUAAAAAUCUUAAAUUAACCAAUUUGAUAAUGACAUCUAAAAACAUCUACUCAUAUAUCAUAAUGCAAAAAAAAAAAAAUACCUUAAUUCAUAUUUAACUAAAAAAAUUAAAGACUGAUGAUCAUAAUUUGUUUUUUUAAUUUCAACUGUCCUUGUAGAUGUGCUCAACUGUCCUUGUAGAUGUGCUCCCCAAAUUACUUAAAAAUAUUACAUUCUUUAUAAAAGUGCAACAGUAAUAUUUUUCUGAACGUAAAACUAAGGCCCCUGUGCAACACGAACACGGGUAUUUUCAAAACCGCAGCUUUUUCUAUGAGGUUUUGCCAUUUGUCGGCAUGCAAACACAGCAACAGGUCACUGAAACCGUACAUUUUUGAAAAUGUACGUGUGGACAUGGCCUUCUACCAUAAUUGGAAGCUAAAACACUCUAGAAUCAUUGUUUUUCCCUUUUUUCCCACAGAAAAGUCCCUCAAGUAAAGAAUCACCCCAAGACGUUUCCAGUCUGAGUGAAGCAGCUGUGCUGCAUGUUGUAUUGUGCGAGCUCCACACAGUGAAUUACGGAGAGCCGAGUAAACAACAAGAGGCUAAACGAGUGCAUGUUAGCUAAUUAAACAGCACUCAUGAUUGCUGAGUAAUUGAAGGUACCUCAAUCUUCACCUGAAUACUUCCACAAAUAAUUACCUUCAUGUAAUUAGCGCUGUUGAUAGAGUGUUUGCGUGCGACACACGUGUGUUUCAGUUGGAAUUCAAGAUAUCAAAUCAAAUAUUUGAAUUGCUUGGAAAAUUAAUGAUAUUGAGGUAAAUUAAUGUUUGUAAACAGACAUUUCGUUUUAGUGUUAAUACAUCCCAUUCGCACACAUAAUUAAAAUGUGUUUUCGAUAAGCAGGACUUGUGGUUUCCAUUGAACUGAGGUGAAGAGCUAUGCUAGCAGUCAGACGAGAGAAGAAUGAAUAUAACAGGCCUGACUUCCAGGGGUUCUGCUUGAUCCUGGUAUCUGAGGCAGGGGAAGAAAAAGCCAG